rnacentral:rRNA from 1 species
UACGGAGGAUCCAAGCGUUAUCCGGAUUUAUUGGGUUUAAAGGGUGCGUAGGCGGCCUGUUAAGUCAGGGGUGAAAGACGGUAGCUCAACUAUCGCAGUGCCCUUGAUACUGAUGGGCUUGAAUGGACUAGAGGUAGGCGGAAUGAGACAAGUAGCGGUGAAAUGCAUAGAUAUGUCUCAGAACACCGAUUGCGAAGGCAGCUUACUAUGGUCUUAUUGACGCUGAGGCACGAAAAGUGUGGGGGAUCAAACAGG